UACAUACUCCCUCCGUCCGAAAAUACUUAUCAUCAAAAUGGACAAAAAUGGAUGUAUGUAGAACUAAAAUACAUCUAGAUACAUCCCAUUUUAUUCAUUUUGAUGACAAGUAUUUCCGGACGUAUGAAGUACAUC
rfam:Triticum aestivum genome assembly, contig: Triticum_aestivum_CS42_TGACv1_scaffold_272212_3DS